rnacentral:rRNA from 1 species
UACAGAGGUCUCAACCGUUGUUCGGAUUUAUUGGGCGUAAAGGGUGCGUAGGCGGUCGCGUAAGUCGGGUGUGAAAUCCCGAGGCUCAACCUCGGAACUGCACUCGAUACUGCGUGACUAGGGUGCUGGAGAGGAGACUGGAAUUUACGGUGUAGCGGUGAAAUGCGUAGAUAUCGUAAGGAAGACCAGUGGCGAAGGCGGGUCUCUGGACAGUUCCUGACGCUGAGGCACGAAGGUCAGGGGAGCAAACGGG